UUCGCGUCUCGAUGCGAGCUCGCACUCCCGGGGCGUCUCGUCUCAUUGCGAGCUGAGGCGCACCCAGAGCGUACACGUUGGGACCCGAAAGAUGGUGAACUAUGCCUGGUCAGGACGAAGUCAGGGGAAACCCUGAUGGAGGUCCGUAGCGAUUCUGACGUGCAAAUCGAUCGUCGGAACU
rnacentral:rRNA from 1 species